UGACAAGCCACAGAAAUACCUGAUUUCAAAAGAGAUGCUUGCAUUCUAUACUGAUGUCAUCUAGGAGUAUAAGUGCCCAUUGUCACACUGCAGAGUGGAGAAAGGUUCCUAUGCUCUCUGUUCCCCUCUUUGCAAAAUGAAAGCAAACCAAGGCUAUGUGCUCACAGGAGAACAAGGCAAUGGGAUGCUGGGAUGCACCUUCUAGAUCAGAAACCCAUUCAUUUAGAGGAUCCCUUUGUGGCAUCUGGAUCUCGUCUCACUUAAGAUCAUAUAGCAGGAACCAUCAUCCCUGGAACCCACUUGAUUUUUAUCAGAAGUUUCCAACAUCCUGCAGCAGACAGAAUUGUUUCGAGGACUCCUCUAAGACCUCCAUCUGAGUGCCUGUUGAUGGGCUUUGAAACCAGUAAAUAAUCAAGCCCUCUGCAUGCUUUUCAAGGUCCCUACCUAUGAUUGAGAUCCCUUCCAACUCCACCUUUAUACUCCCACUAUGCAAGUGGCCUUUAAAAAUAGAAGCAUGUUCACCACAUACAAAAGCAGUACAAUGUAUGUAGACAUUUGCUAAACCAUAACAUUGUUUGCACAAAAGGUUCAAAAGAACUUUGGAAUGUAGUGGCAUGGAAAGCCUGGGCUUCUGCUAAUGUGACCUCCGAAGGUGAAUCCCAGGAAGUCCUGCCCCUGUAAUUCACUGUGAAGGACAUCAGACACUACUUCUAUUUUCUUUUAUGUUGUUGUCUCCUUCUCUGGCUUUUUGCUGGUGCCACAAAUAAUCUUGGAUCUUUCUUCUUAUUCUGUAAUA